AGGCCGGGAACUCAAAGGAGACUGCCAGUGAUAAACUGGAGGAAGGUGGGGAUGACGUCAAGUCAUCAUGGCCCUUACGAGUAGGGCUACACACGUGCUACAAUGGCAUAUACAAAGAGAAGCGACCUCGCGAGAGCAAGCGGACCUCAUAAAGUAUGUCGUAGUCCGGAUUGGAGUCUGCAACUCGACUCCAUGAAGUCGGAAUCGCUAGUAAUCGUGGAUCAGAAUGCCACGGUGAAUACGUUCCCGGGCCUUGUACACACCGCCCGUCACACCAUGGGAGUGGGUUGCAAAAGAAGUAGGUAGCUUAACCUUCGGGAGGGCGCUUACCACUUUGUGAUUCAUGACUGGGGUGAAGUCGUAACAAGGUAACCGUAGGGGAACCUGCGGUUGGAUCACCUCCUUACCUUAAAGAA
rnacentral:rRNA from 1 species